GGCUUCAUACCUCAGUUGGUGGGAGCACUGCACCCGCUUUGCAGAGGUCGUGGGUUUGAAUCCCAUUGAAGACA
rnacentral:tRNA from 1 species